rnacentral:rRNA from 1 species
UACGAAGGGUGCAAGCGUUACUCGGAAUUACUGGGCGUAAAGCGUGCGUAGGCGGUUUGUUAAGUCCGUUGUGAAAGCCCUGGGCUCAACCUGGGAAUUGCAGUGGAUACUGGCAAGCUAGAGUACGGUAGAGGAUGGCGGAAUUCCCGGUGUAGCAGUGAAAUGCGUAGAGAUCGGGAGGAACAUCUGUGGCGAAGGCGGCCAUCUGGACCAGCACUGACACUGAGGCACGAAAGCGUGGGGAGCAAACAGG